AAAAGACAUCUGUAAUUGCAAAGAGUAAAAUCAAAAAAGUUUUUAUUCAGAACAUAUUUUUAUACAACUGCAAAAAAAAUAAUUUUGGUAUCAUGUUGUCGUCGUUUUCGUUGUCCAAGACAUUUGGUUUUCGCACAAUAACUUUAUUAUAAGUAACACAAGGUUUUUGACCACAAUGGAAGGUUCAGAUUGAUUUUGGGACUUUUGGUCUCAACAGUUUAGGAAUAAGGGGCCAAAAGGGUCCAAAAUUAAACUUUGUUUGAUUUCAUUAAAAAUUUAAAUAAUUGGGUUCUUUCAUAUGCUGAAUCUAACGGUGUAUUUAGAUUCUUAAUUUUUGGUCCUGUUAUCAAAAUUGGUCUACAUUAAGGUGCAAAGGGUCCAAAAUUAAACUUAGUUUGAUUUUAACAAAAAAAAAUUUCUUGGGGUUCUUUGAUAUGCUGAAUCUAAACAUGUCAAUGUGGACCAAUUAAAUAACGGGGCCCAAAUGAAUUUUGAAAUGUAGGCCCGGUUAUUAAAUUUGUCCACAUUGAGGUCUAAAGGGUCCAAAAUUGAACUUUAUUUGAUUUCAUCAAAAAUUGAAUUUUUGGGGUUCUUUGAUAUGCUGAAUCUAACCAUGUAUUUAGAUUUUGGAUAUUGGACCAUAAAAGGCAAUGUCCAAUUUAAAAUUUUUAAGUUCUUAGACCACAUUCUUUCUGUGUUAGAAACCUUGCUGUGUCAACUAUUUAAUUAAAUUUAAUCACGAUCCAAAUUCAGAGCUAUAUCCAGCUUGAAUGUUGUGUACAUACUUGCCCCAACUGUUCAGGGUUCGACCUCUGUGGUCUUAUCAAGCAUUUUAUCUAAUUUAUAUACUACGGUUUCUAAAAAAUGUAUUUUUAACAUGCAUUGGACAGUUUUCUACUGAUGUUAUUUAAACAUGCAUUGAACAGUUUCUACAGAUGUAUUUUUUACAUGCAUUGUAAGUCUCCUGUAUUUUCAACACUUUUAGUUUUCGAUGUAUUUUUAAAUGCAUUGGAUAGUUUUUUACCAAUGUAUUUUUAACAUGCAUUGGACAGUUUCCUCCGAUGUAUUUUUAACAUGCAUUGCAUAGUUUUUCUGCUGAUGUGUUUUUAACAUGCAUUGGGCAGUUUUCUACUGAUGUAUUUUUAACAUAUGCUUUGGACAGUUUUUUACCAAUGUAUUUUAAUAUGCAUUGGACAGUUUUCUACCAAUGUAUUUUAAUAUGCAAUUGACAUUUCAUUGGACAUUUUUCUACCCAUGUAUUUUUAAUGUGCAUUAGAUAGUUUUCUACCUAUGUAUUUUUAACAUGCAUUAAACAGUUGUCUUUUUAUGUAUUUUUAACAUACAUGUUCCACCAAUUUAAAAAAAAAGAACAUGUUCAAGGGAAAUGAUUUAAACCAUGCCUUGUGUUGUUUCUCAAGUAUGCUAGCUCUCAACAUGACAGAAAAAUUACAAUUCAGUGAGAUCACACCUUUUUGCUAAUACUCAUUUUCUGUAGCAGUUUGAUAUCAAUCAGAUUUGACUAUGCAAGGGAUAAAAAACUUAGCUUCCAAUAUUCAACUGUAGAUUCAUUUUGUUAUGUGGUGUUGUGCCAAAGCUAUUUAACUUAAUUUACUUUCGUGAUAGAAGUUAUUAUGUUGUUUAAUGCAAAUAGUUUGUGCAGUUCAUUUUUGUAUUUCAUAAUUUCCGCAAUAUUUUUGUAAUAACUUUACCGGGAGUUCGUAGCACAUUUUAUGUUGCCAUUUGCGACACAGAUGUUAUACGGAGUAAUUUUCAUAGGAGCCGCAUAACAAAUCAUUUAUAUAUGUUAAAGUUGUAUGGAAUUACCUUUUACACAUUCAUUUAUAAUGAUAAUCUUUCAUAAUUGUAGUCUUUUGCAACACAGCGUUCAUGUUUACAUUGUAACCGUUAACCAGAAGUAGGGAAUAUCUGUUUUUGUGUAUUCACUUUGUAAACUAGGUCGACUAUAGUCAGUUUCAAAUUUGGAUUGCCAACGAUCAGCUGCUUUUAUAAUAAACGGAAUAUAUUUUACACCAGUUUUUUAUUCAUUGCUUUGAAAUUGGUAAACUUAAAAAAUGGUCGGCGCUACAUGUGGAUUGAGGAAAACUUGCAUUUUCAUGGAUUUUUGAUUUUAUGGUUUUGCCAUAGCCUGCAUACAAGAGUAUAGGAAAUUUUUUAUUCUAUGAACAUUAAAAUUCGUGGUUCACCUGUAACAACAAAAUCCUUAAAAAUUGAUAUCCAAUGAUUAAUAAUGAAUCCCCAGUACAAAAAAUUCAGAAAUUAUUGUGAUUUUGUCCUUUUAGACUUAAAUGCUAUAUUGAGUAAAAUCCUG
rnacentral:lncRNA from 1 species